UAUUAGAGUUUGAUCCUGGCUCAGCCUGAACGCUGGCGGCGUGGCUAAGACAUGCAAGUCGAACGGGUGUAGCAAUACACCAGUGGCGCACGGGUGAGUAAUGUAUCGCUAACGUGCCCCGGAGCCUGGGAUAGCUGUCCGAAAGGGCAGGUAAUACCAGAUGAGACCACGGAGAGGCAUCUCUCAGUGCUCAAAGCCGCAAGGCACUCUGGGAGCGGGCGAUAUCGUAUCAGCUAGUUGGCGGGGUAACGGCCCACCAAGGCUGCGACGCGUAGCUGGUCUGAGAGGACGGCCAGCCACAUCGGGACUGAGACACUGCCCGGACUCCUACGGGGGGCUGCAGUAACGAAUCUUCCGCAAUGCACGAAAGUGUGACGGAGCGACGCCGCGUGGAGGACGAAGUCCUUCGGGAUGUAAACUCCUGUCAGGGGUUACCAAGUUCUGAGGAACCCCAGAGGAAGGCACGGCUAACUCUGUGCCAGCAGCCGCGGUAGCC
rnacentral:rRNA from 1 species